AGACUCACUUUACCUUAUGAUCCAGGCCUCUAGAUGCAGACUUGUAGUUUUCUUCAUUUAUUGCAAAAGAUUUCAAGUUCGACAAAAUUAUUUAUAUACUUAAACUCGGUUCCUCUGUCUCUGUUUUUCACUAUUCUUGAAUAGUGAAAGGGCGGAAAUGCCCUUGAUUUCUUCUUUGUUUGCCUUGUUUCCUCUUUUCUACGAUGAAAAGCUUGUUUUGCCCAUUUCAUCCACGCUUCGAUCAUCGCUGUGCAUCGAUCACUUCUCAACUUUUUCCUUCCGUUUCCACUUUUCUUUUUCACAAUUCUCUGCUUCUCUCACUCUUGACCCUUGCUUUUUUUUUUUUUCACUCUCAAACGCCGCUUUCUCAAACGCCGCUUUCUCUGGCUCUUCAAUUGGAUCCGGAAAAAAAAAAAUUUACCUAGAAAAGCUAGCAUUUCCUGGUCUUUGAGAUACGAUAUUGUUCCAGGCUGUCAUCCAAAUUCCCUACCACAUUGUGCCACGGCGAUUUCAAAGAGGUCCUUGAUGAGAUGCUAUACUAAGCGAAUCCGGAUCCUUGUCGGAUCCUUUUUGUGUUGAUUUUGUGAAUCAUGAAUCGUGGUUGUUCAUCAGUACAUCGUGCUAUUAGAAAUUAUUUUAAAUAUUUUUAUUUUAAAUUAAACACAAAUAGUACCUAACAAAAACUGACUAUAUGAUGUACAAGAAACGAAUACGAUUUACAAAUUCUCAAAAUUCUUACCAAAAGGAUCCGGAGAAGAUCAUGUUGGAUACUGAGCAGCUACCAUCGUAAUGAGCUUAGGUAUUGAGAUUUUUCCUGAACUUCUUUUUUUCUUGGAACAUGAAACCAUAUGUAUUUGCUGAACGUUGGUGCAUGUAAAUAGUACAAUGUUUAAUAAUCUUUUAUUUAGAGUCUAAUGAAUGAUAAUAGUGGAUCAUAAUGUUGACAAUAA